rnacentral:rRNA from 1 species
AUACGUAGGGGGCGAGCGUUGUCCGGAAUUACUGGGCGUAAAGGGCGUCUAGGUGGCCUCUUGCGUGUAAGGUUAAAGGCGUCGGCUCAACCGACGACGUGCCUUGCAAACGGGGAGGCUUGAGAACAGGAGAGGGAUGCGGAAUUCCCGGUGGAGCGGUGAAAUGCGUAGAGAUCGGGAAGAACACCAGUGGCGAAGGCGGCAUCCUGGCCUGGAUCUGACACUGAAGCGCGAAAGCGUGGGGAGCGAGCGGGAUUAGAUACCCCGGUAGUCCACGCCGUAAACGAUGGGUACUAGGUGUGGGAGGUAUCGACCCCUUCCGUGCCGGAGCUAACGCACUAAGUACCCCGCCUGGGGAGUACGGCCGCAAGGCUGAA